rnacentral:rRNA from 1 species
GUCCACGCUGUAAACGAUGGGCACUAGGUGUUCGGGGUAUUGACCCCCUGAGUGCCGCAGCUAACGCAUUAAGUGCCCCGCCUGGGGACUACGGCCGCAAGGUUAAAACUCAAAGGAAUUGACGGGGGCCCGCACAAGCGGUGGAGCAUGUGGUUUAAUUCGACGCAACGCGAAGAACCUUACCUGGGCUAGACAACGUCGGACAGCUUUGGAAACAGAGUCUUCCCGCAAGGGACCGGCGGUUCAGGUGCUGCAUGGCUGUCGU